UAGGGAAUCUUCCGCAAUGGACGCAAGUCUGACGGAGCAACGCCGCGUGAGUGAAGAAGGAUUUCGGUUCGUAAAACUCUGUUGUUAGAGAAGAACAGCGCAUAGAGUAACUGUUAUGCGUGUGACGGUAUCUAACCAGAAAGCCACGGCUAACUACGUGCCAGCAGCCGCGGUAAUACGUAGGUGGCAAGCGUUGUCCGGAUUUAUUGGGCGUAAAGCGAGCGCAGGCGGUCAAUUAAGUCUGAUGUGAAAGCCCCCGGCUCAACCGGGGAGGGUCAUUGGAAACUGGUUGACUUGAGUGCAGAAGAGGAGAGUGGAAUUCCAUGUGUAGCGGUGAAAUGCGUAGAUAUAUGGAGGAACACCAGUGGCGAAGGCGACUCUCUGGUCUGUAACUGACGCUGAGGCUCGAAAACGUGGGUAGCAAACAGG
rnacentral:rRNA from 1 species